AUUUAUAUUAUCUAAAAGAGCCAUUGGUUCUUCGAAAAAGUGCGGAAAAUUAUUUUUUUAAAAAAUAUUUUAUAUUUGUAUUUUUGCCUUUUAGAUUUUUGGACACGACAUUUAAGCACCGGAUAUUGAGUUUGAAUGAAGUUAAAAUAAAUAUGAAAUUAUCACACACAUGAAACCAAAUUCAUUAACUCUAUUUUACAAUAUAGCUAUUACAAAUUUCAAAUUCUACCUAUCUCUCAGAAAGAAAAAACUCUUCCUUUGGAGUGUACAGAAGGCAUUGCCUAAAAAAUAAAAAUAAAUAAAACAAGUGAUUAAAUAUAAGUCUUUGAGACGUUGAAAUAAAAGAUUUACAUGCUAUAUAUAUAUAGUUGUAUAGAUAGUAUUGCCCAAUAACUUAUUUGUUAUCAAAUAAGUAAUAAGGUAAAAAGCACAUAUAAUUUAUCUAAACUAUAAAUCAUUUUGAGUUGACUAUCUAAUCUUUCAAAAUUUAAUUUUAUUGUCCUAUUUUUCAAUUUAUUUGAUUUGAAUCAGUCAAUGAUAUUUUGACUUUAAAUUUUGAAUGCACUGUUUAUUUCUAAAAGUUCAAUUAGUAUACUUCAUCACAAUUAUAAAUUUAUAAAAAUAAGCAAUUUGCUUAAGUUUUGAAAUCAAAAUACUAUUGACCAACUCAAAUCAAAUAAAUUAAAAAGUUAGAAAUAACAUAUUUAAAAUUGUUCAUACUUUGGGUAUGUUCUGUACGUCUUUAAUAAGUAAUAAUAAUAUAUAUGGAUAACUGCCUAUGGUUUCCUACAAAGGUAUGAAAUAACAAAUUAAUAUAUUCCUACAAAACUUAAGAUAACAGAUAAAGUCUUUUCGUCUACAAAUAUAGUCUUCUGUUAAUAAAAUUUAAAUAACCAUGGGUUAAAAAUACUAACUACAAUUAACUAAGGGGUAAAAUUUUCUUCUUAUCUCAUAUAUGUAUAAUUAGUAUUCCAAUAUUGAGUCUCGUCAUCUGUCUCAUCCUCUCCCUUUUAUCCAUGGCAACGGCCUCGAUAAAAAUGAGGUAUGCCACUUGUGCCACGGGGAAAGGCGAGGAGAGAGAAAGAAAGAUAGAUAGCUAUUUUAGAAGGACAAAUUUGUAAGGGUAAAAUAGUCAUUUUACGCACUUAUCAUUAAAAAAUCAAUCGUGAAUCAAAUUGUAGGGACAUAUAUGAAUGAACUAAAACUUUUGGAGAAAUAUAUUUGCAAAUCAGAGAAUUUUUUAAAAAAUAAAUUUAAUAUCUUAAAUUUCGUAGGGAUAACUUUGCUAUUUAAUAUCUUUGUAGGCACCUGUAUAAAAUUAACCCUAAUAUAUAACUUGCCCAUGGCAUGGGAAAAUAUCUACAAGUCCCGCUUCUAUACUAUCAGUAGUACGGAGAUCUCUGUUGCUAGUAAGUUAUUUUCAAUGAUGUAGUUUCCAAAUCGACGAUCAGCUCCGGUUAAACUUGAUCUACACUAUUGAAAUCAUUUGGAAACUAAAUUUCAUAACUUUUCGACAUUAUUUACCUGUGAAACAAGUAAUCCAAAAAAUGAACGGCUAAUAAUAAACAUCUCAUAAAAAAUAAUAAUAAAAGACUUGAAUUUAAGAUCAGAGAUACUGAUCUUAUUCUAAAUAGUGAAAAAAAAAUUAUAAAAAUAUUAUCAGAUUUAGAUUAUUUUACACCGUUAAAUUUACAAACGCCUCACAUCGACCGUUAAAAAAUUAUCAAUUUUGAGACCUUCUGAUCACUAGCCGAAUAAUAUCAAAAAGUUAUAAAAUUUAGUUUUCAAAUACUUUCAAUAGUGUAGAUCAGAUCUAACAGAGCCGAUCGCCGAUUUGGAGACUGCAUCAUUGAAAACAACUUGAUAGGACGGAGGUCUCUGUGCUACCGACAGUACAGCAGCGGUCUAUAUCUCAAUAUCUACUACUGCAGUGUGUAUAAUAAUAGUAUUGGUGCACUUUUGGGGAAGUUAUUGGGUGUAGAUAGCAUGUAAAGAGUUGGCGCGAGCAUCCAAAAACAUGGAGAUAGUGGGAUCUAAAAUGGCCAAAAAUCAUUGUUAUCACAAUUUAUGUUAAAGUUACGUUGCCGUCCGGGAAGAUAGGGCUGGUUGAUGACGUCAUCGCUGGGGCCCACCGUGACGUCGAGGUCAGUAAGAAUAAAUAAUAAUAAUAAUAAUAAUAAUUAUUAUAGAGUGCUUCUUCUUCACUCAACUUUUAUCCCAUACAUUAGGUAAACUGCAAUUUGGCCCCUAGGGUAUAGCGUAAUUUUAAUUUGAUACUUUAAUAUUAAAGGAAGGAUAAACUAUAGAAAGAUUUUCCCUUAAUACCUGUUUUUUUACUUUUUUAUUGUCAUUUGAAAACCUACACUUUUUUUCUUAAAAAAUAAAAAAGUAUUUACUUUGACCCCGGUCGUCAUUGUUCCGUUAGGUUCCGUUUAUAUCCUAUUUUUUAUAGCCAAAAUGUCCUUGAAACCCUCCUUCUCUUUCAUUCUCGGCCGCGUCGCCUCACCACCUCGUCCUUCACUGCCUCGCCCUCAAUCACCUCUUGUCCAUGUCCACACACACAUCCUCGCCCAUCUCUUCGUCCACGCCCACUCCGAAGAAGAUGAAGGUAAUUUGGUCAUUUUGUCACAGCGUACCCUCUUGCAAAUAUUUUUUAAUUUUUAAGAGGACAAAGUGUAGAUAUUUGAAUGACGGGGAGAGAAAGUGAAGAAAUGGAUAUUAACUGAAAAAUUUUCUAUAAUUUAACCUUAAAAAAUUAUAUUUAAUUAUUCUAUAAUAAUACGUAUUUUUUAUUUUACCACCCGGUAGUUUAAAAAAUCACGCUUGGCUAUCUUAAAAUUUUAUUUUCGUUUCACUAUUAGAAGCUUUUUUUUAAUGGUGUACUAUUUUGUGAUUUUUAAAUAUUUUUUGGUUGAAAUAAAAUAAAAUUGUAGAAAGGGUUAAGUGCAAUGAAAAAGUGUUAUAACAUGGGAGCGCAAAUUGAAGUUUAUUCAAAAAUGGAUUCAGUUUUUAAAAAACCAAUCCAAAGCCCACUCAUUGGCUAAUAUUUUAUUAUUUUAUACUUAAUAUUUUCUUUUAAGCAUUGCUUGGUAGUACCCAAAAUAUUGUCUUUGUGUAUUAUUAGUUUAUCUAUACUUUUGAUGUAAAUAAUUUUGAUUAAUUAAUGCACAUAAAACAAAUGCAUUAUAUAAAUUUGCUAACAUAGAGAUUAAUAAUUUAUAAAGAUAACAUUAAUUUGGGGAGCCUAAACCCUUUUUUUUUUUAUUUUUUUACAAUGGAGCAGUGAAACAUAACCAUCAUUUAGUUAUAUUUUGAUCUAAUUUUGAUCCAUUUAAAAAAAGAAAAACAAAAAUCACAAUGUGAGUUUAGCACUUGGGAGGUUUCUUAGUCACCCUCAAAAUACAUUAAUAUUAACACAAUGUGUGCUUAUCACUCAAGUUGGUUUCUAAGUCAUCCUCCAAAGAAUUAAUUAAAUUACUUGAUCACUUAUUGUUAGUUGAGCUAGUGAGUUGAUGUGUAAUAAUCCAACAAUUAACAUUAUAAUCACAAAACAUGAUAAUUUAUUUAUGUAUUAAUGCACUUGAUUAUGAGUGACACAAAAUUCAUUAAAUGGUUGGCCAAAAAUCAAAUUGUUGUUGUUAUAUGCUGCUCAUGAAAGCUAAAAUUGAGAGAAUUGCUUGGUUUUCAAGUAGUUUUUACAUGAAAUCUAAUUAAUUGCGCUUAAAAUUGCGAUAUCUCGCUUGAAAACCGUACUAAACCACCAGUACCUCUGGCGACUACGUACUGAAGAGUUAAUGAAAAGGUCAGUAAUUUGAACACUGCGGACGUGUUUGGUUACCCAUUUUUUACUCUGAAAUCGCAAUCGGCAUAGACGAAUCCGCUUAUUCGUAUUUAAUAUACGGAAUUUUUAUUUUGAUUUAGAUCCCUGGGUAGAUUGGAAUCCCCCCAAUUAACCUUUUUUCUAAUCCGACCUGGGAGGCCAGACUAAAAAUUGAAUCUGAGCGGAAUUGAUUUAUUUAGAUUAAAUUUAAAAUUUUAAGCUUAUUUUAUUAAUUAAAAAUAUAAGUUUAAGUUUAAAAAUUAUAUUUAUAAAUUUUAAUUUUAAUUUGAACUUAAAUUAAAAAUUAAAAUUCAAUCAAAGUAUUUCAAAUCAAAUUUAUAAAUUUGAAUUUAAAAUUAAUUUAAAAUCUAAAAUUUUGUUCAAAUUUUAUUUAAAAUUUAAAUUAAAUUUAUGGAUUUAAAUCGAAAUUUAAAUUAUAAUUUUAAGUAUGAAUUUGAAUAAAUCAAAAUUUAGUUUAUUAUUUUGAAUUAUCCAUUCAAUUUUAAAUUUUAAUUUUUUUUUAAAAAAAUAUAUUUAAAAUUUUGGAAUCAUUUUAAAAAUUUGACAUAAAUUUUUAUUAUUUAAUUUUUAGUUUGAAUUUGAACUAAUAUAUUAUAAAGAUAAAAUUGACAUAUUAAUUUGAUUACAUUUCUGAUAUUUAUCUGAAUCAAACACUGACAAUGAGAAUCGUUCAUUCCGAUUCCGAUUCAGGUGACGAACCAAACAAAAUGAGGUAAUGAAUUAUUCCGAUUUCGUUUUCAGCUUAUUCUUAUUUCGAUUUCAAUACAGAUUCUGCUUCGAACCAAACACACUCUGCGUGUUUUCUGAAUGGAGCUCAUUCAUGCCUCUGUGUAGGUUUAUGAUAUCAGUGAUGAAUCAAUUCAAAAAUAAAGAACAUUUCUUUAUGCUAAAAUGUCCAAACAAAUGUUGCUAUAGCUUUUUCUAAAAAAUGUAACAGAUAAUAUAGACUUGGGGUUAAUUUCAUACAGGUUAGUGCAAAUAAAGUGAAUGUCAAAUAUAUCCCUAUAAAAUUCAACUUUCAUGUGUUGUCCUUGUAAAAGUUCUGAUAUUUUCAAAUAUAUCUCUGCCGUUAGAAUCCGUUAAAAAAAUUUAGUUAACUAUAUAUUAAACACUUAACUCUUGUUAGUUUUGACAUUUUUACCUCUUUAAAUUGUACUGUUAUAACUUUUUGAGGGAUAUAUUUGUGAUGGUAAAUUUGAAAAUAUAAACAGUUCUCACCGUUUGGUUCAGGUAUAAGCAACAACUAGCUAUUACAGGGAUAGGUACAAGUAUGGGGAUAAGAAAAAUAGCGUUUGGAUGAAAAUUGGGUUGUUCCCGAGGAUAAGAAAAAUAUUAAAAAGUUUUAUAUAGAAAAUGGAGGUGUUGGUGGGGAUAACCGAGAACUACUAUUCUCGGGUAAAAAAUUAGCGUUUGGAUAUAAAGGGGGGGAUAGGGGCCUAUCCCUAUCCCUAUUCCCAAACCAAACAGUGCUUAAUGGUAACAAACCAGAGAGAUAUAUUUGAAAACAUCAAGACUUUUGUAGGGACAAUACAUAAAACUUAAACUUUGUAAGGAUAUAUUUGUUAUUCACUAUGUUUGCAUCAACCUUAUAGACUUGACCCACUUAAAUAAAGGACAAAAAUAAAUAAAUAUUUGUGAAAUUGUGAGACUCAUAAUAAUAAAUAUAUAUAAUUUUCUUUCUCUGAAUUAGGCCUAUUUGCCUCAAAGUGGUCCCAUUUGUGUCCACUGAUCCAGCAACAUAUGCAGGGGGGCAUCAACAUGUGUUUUAGGUUGAAAUUAUUGGAAUCUGCCGCACUUCCUCACGGAAUAGACCUUACGCGACUGUGCUUUUUAAAUAGAGCUAUUUGAAAAAAAAAAAAAUCACUAAGUUUCCAUUUGUUUCUUGUUGCUUGCCCAAAUUUGAUUAUGUAGAUCUCAAAAGCUCAUUUUCUAUGCGUCCUGUCACGCAAAAGGAUGUUAAAUUUUUGCUUAUAAAAAAUUUGACUUUUAUUUCUCGAAGUAGAAAAUAUUCGAGAAACCAGGCCAAACAGGCACCAAAUCCUUAUUUUAGUGAAGACUCGAUACAAUUGACCUUUUUUUUAAGGAGUACCUACCAUAGCAUUAUGUACAUCGUAAAAAGUCGGAGAAAAUCUUAGCCGUUGAUGUAAAACAAAUGACCCUGUAUCACUUAUCCAGAUGUAUCAGAUUACCGCCGCAUGAGCGAUCAGUAAGAAAUUCAUGAACAGUGAAGUGUAAAAAAAUCGGCUCUUUAUAUCGACAUGAGUAGUACUGUACCGAUGACGACUGUGUCGAUGGUUGUGGCCUUGUGGGGCAUAUAUAAUUUGGUGCGAGGGUUGUUGUGGCUCGUGAGGUCCACCGCGACGCACUGCAUCCAAUCUCGCACCGCAUCCAAUCUUCUGCGACGCACGGCUCGCAGCCGUCGAUUGCGCGCCUCGACGGUUGUGGAUAUAGCAUUACUGUCAUCUGGCAUGGGCAAAUUUAAUGGCCUGCAAGUUGCCCAAGGACAAUAAAUUGACCUGUCCUUCUACUGGGGCUGAACUCUCCCUUUCAUUCUUCCAAUCAAAGAGAAGGGGAAAAAACUGUUGAUUCCCUCCAACUUGCAACCAAGAUGUGCACAAGCUGGAGAGAAGUGCUUUUGGCUCCUUCCAAAGCUUUAUACACAUUUCUGCUACAAUCCAUGCUUUGUGGGGCAGAUAACUGAGAGGGAAAGCACUUUCUAUUAUUAUCACAAAUAAAAAGAGGAGUUUUCUAGUAGAAGUAUUAAAUAUUCUUAGCAGCUUAACAGUUUUGUUGUGUAUGCGUAAUGCCGUAACAAAUAAUCGACCUUUCUUUCUAUCGGAUCGCUAACUAUUAAUCUCAAAAGUUUUGGUAGCUAGAAACACGCAAUCAAUUCACUUAAACCGCGCAGACACAGCAUUCGCAUAUCUCAAUUAUGACUCGAUUCAGCUUGGUCGCACGCCACAGAACAGGAUGCUGGUCCUUUUAUGGCAGCAUCUUUGACUAUUACAGUAGUGGUAGUCUCUUGUGAACGAUUUUAAGUAACUUACUCGAUUUUUUUGAAUCUUCAUUUGUUUUUCAUUCAAUUAUGUUGUUUUGGGUCCAUCGCUUCAGUUGUUGCGUUAGGUGCGAGUCGUUAGAUUUUAUUCUAUUAUUGUUGCCUUCACAGUCACAUAAAUAAAUAAAAUAAAAUAAAACUUAAUACUUGAAUUUGAAAGGUUAAAAUUGACUAGAGUCAUUUAGUCCACUUAAUGAAUAAGUUGAUUUGAAAAGACACAUUGAAUGUGGAAUUAUCAUCAUGAAUGAGGUGAUAUGAAAAGACACAUUCAAUGUGUAAAUUAUCACCAUGAGGUGAAGGAUCAUAUAUUGGAAGGUUCAAUGUCACCAUGAAUUUGGUGAGGUGAAAAACAGCUCGCACAUUCAAUGUGUAAGUUAUCAAAUGAAGGACAUGAAGUUUAAAUGAAUGUGGGAACUUAAAGAUGAAAAAAAUGAUUGUAAUGUUUAGAUACAGUAACUAUCAUGGGAGAAAUAUUCUUAUCAAUUGCUCCUUGAUAGAUAGAGUUUUGAAAGAAACUAUAAAUAGGGCUCUUGGUCCCCAUUUACGAUGGAAUCGGAAUUAGACCUUGAUAUAUUCUAUGUGAUUUGCAAAAAAAUAUAUUAACCGAAGAUCCUAAGUUUUGCUAAUACAAUUUAAAAUUUUUUUUUGGCUCACAUCUAAAGAAUCACAUAAAGAAUAAUCUUAUUUAUUACUGCCAAACAGGAAAAAAAAAAAGAAAAAAGAAAAAGAAACUGGUUGUUGUGAGUUUCAAUCAGUCAUAAUUAUCACAACCAAGUAUGCUAAUAGAAGGAUUUAAUGUUGUUUGUUUUGGAAUGAGUUGAAGCCAUGUUCAGAGCCAAUUUUACGAUUGAGCGUCAAGAUUUGAAGAUUUUUGGAUGCUUCUCUCGGAAUCAUAUAUACAAUGAGGUUCCAGAAACUCAACCUGUUCCCGAACUGAUAGUUGCGUUUUGCAGAAUUCGAAAGAGGUGUUGUGUUGGCCGAGUUGAAGGCUGGUGUUUUGAAACAUUGAAAUUGAUUUCCGAACAUGACACUUUGCAAAGUCUUAGGUUCUGGAAAGCCUGUUUUGGUUCCAAAACCAAAGUCUGUGGCAGACAUUUUAAGUUGGAUUUGACUCCAACUUGAUCUAAUCUCGUAUGUUAAUUAAGAAUAUAAAUAGAUGGUGCAGAAUCAUCUUGUGAAAGGGAUUUUAAGCGGAGAUUGACGAAAAGAAGUGAAUUGGGAGACUUGGAUAAACAGUGAUGAUCUAUUCUUACUAGUAUUGGGUUUUUGGGCAUUUAAAUCUUAUAAUAAUCCUUAUUUUAGGGCUUUAGAGCUUUAUUUUUUUUUUGAGAAAUUUAGAGCUCUAUUGAAAAAAAAAGAAAAAAAAAAGCUAAUUAAGAGAGAAAACAUAGAAGAACCUUAAAAAAAAGAGAUUUCUUGUAUCCAAUUUAUUUCCUAUACUUUGUGACAUUGAAGAAAGUGUUGAGGAAGUCUUAUCAUGGAUGUAGGUCGACGAUACACUGUUAACCGAAUCACGUAAAUUUUUGUAUCCUUACUCUUCUUUAGUAUUUGUUAUUUUCGUUCUUAUUUUUUGAUCAUUCUCGUCAAAUUUUCUCUUCAUACGAUCCUACUUUUUCGCUGCUCUCGUAUGUCAUAAAGGUUUAAUGAAUCCGCCAGUUUGAAUACAACUCCUUAAAAGAUACAAGAAAUAUUAACAGUUAUGAUUUUUUCUCAUAAUUGCCUAUAUUAUUCUCCUUAUAACAGACAGUAAAACAUUCUAGCCUGAGAAACAUAUUUUAACUUCAUAUUAUAACAACCGACCGUCUCUAGAGCAAGUGGCAAAGGGCUUGGUGGUUGGUACUCGAGACCCAAGUUCGAAUCCUAGCUGAUUCACAUUUUCAGCUAUGUUUAGAAAUAUAAAGAAGCAGAUAGCAUGCUACCUAUCUCUCUCUCAAAAAAAAAAAAAAAAAAAACUUCAUAUUAUAACAAAGUGCUUGAAAUUGAAAAACUUUAAUUUUUUUUAAAGGAAAUUUUUUCUAAAGAUUGGCCAAACAUGGAUCCCAACACAUUAUAAUUUUCUUGUUAAAUUCUGUAACUAUGCAUAUUUUGUCACAUGGAUCAAGUCAUGUAAGAAAAACCAAGUGAAGUGACCUCUUACUUUAUUUUGCCUCUACCUUUUUCUACUCUUUGUCAAUGGACAUAACUGGCACUUCUAUUUUUUUUUUUAAAAAUUUUUUAAAUUUUUGUUUGUCAAAUCCACAUGGAUAAGCAGAUAGAUGCAUUUAUGUUCACAUAUAAAACGUGAUUUCAAUGGAAAACCUAUUUUUCUUUAUGAAAAUGACACAUCCGACACUGCGUACGUGUCUGGUUCAAAAUAGAAUGAGAAUGGUAAAAUCUUUCUACAUGAAUAAUAGAUUUUUAUGUUCAUUGUUUGAUUGAGAUGGAAAAAAAAUUAUUAUAAAAGAUAAUUAAAAUUAAAAUAUAAAAUAAACUUUAAGAUUGAGUUUCACAAGUCAAAACGUAGAAUUAAAUUUAUAAUUUAAAUUUAAACUAAAACUUAAAUAUUUACACAAAAAUUUUAAAAUGAUAAGCUAAAAUUUAAGUUAAUUUUUUUAAAAAUUUUAAAUUUAAAAUUGAGCUGACAAUUUAAGGCAUAAAACAAAUUUAUAACUUCAAAUUCAAAUGAAAAAACUACAAUUUAAAAUUUUAAUUUAAAUGCAUUAAUUAAUUUAAAAUUUAAAUAAAAAUUUAGAUUAGUAGCUCAAAUUCAGAAUGCUUGUUUGAAUUUAAAUUUUAAUUCAAGUUCCAAUCAAAAUCUAAAAACUAAAUAUUAAUUUCUAAAUUUAAGCUUAUAUUUUAAUUAAAAAUUAAGUUAAAAAUUAAAAUUAAUUCUACAUGAACUUAUAAAUAUAACUAGUGUAUUUUGGGAACAAACUGUCAUUCCUUCCGGAUUCAAAUUCCAAUCCGACAUCUUAACCCGGAUUGGAAAAAUAGAUGGUUGGAAAAAUUCUUUCCGCGUAGAAAUUAAAAUCAAAAUUUAGAACUCCUGUAUAUCAAAUAUUCGCAAAUAAAAUCGUCGGUCACAAUUUCGAUUCCACAAUGAGAAAGUGCGCGAACCAAACACGCCAUAUAUUGCUUCUUUCAUUUACAUGCCUUUUUGUCGGCUACUAAUUUUUGUGAUUAGAUUUUCACGAGUAAAUAAAUUGCACCACAAAAGUCGAAUUUUCAUUCGAAUUUCAAUAUGGUAUUCAAAAUUGCAAAGUUCCACAUUAGAGACUCUAAACUUUUAACAUAGUUUCGCGUUAUUUUUAUGUAUAUUUGCUAUUAAAAUGUAAACUAUUACUUAACAUAUAUCCAAUAUAUCUGUAUAUUUAUAUAUCGUGCAUUUAUUAAUUCUUAAUAGAUUAUAUUUUGAAAAAAAAUUAUAUGCACACUCCAUAUAGCACUAAAUAGGUUGUAAGCAAUACACCUAAACUUAGGGAGCCCAUUGGUUCGGGGAUAACGAAUAUUAGAAUAAUUAUUUUUUAUCUCCGAAAUGGCUUACUAUUCUUGAAUAUUCUGAAAUAAAAGUAAAAUUAUUAUUAUUUUUUAUAAUAUUGCCAUUCUCAGAAAUAAUUAUGGAAUAGUAGAGGAUAGUGGAAAAAAAAAUAAUGGUUGAAUUUGAUAUAAAAUAUAAUUUAAUGAAAAAUAUAUUUUGUAAUAUUUAAUAACAAAUAACUUAGUAAAAAAUAUAAUUUAGUAAAAAAUUAUUUAUUAUAAAACAAUUUAUUAUAAUAUUUAAAUACAAAUAAUAAUAUGUAUUAAUAUAGUGUAAUUAAUAUUUUUAUAAUAAAAAUAAUUUAUUAGAAUAUAUAAUAUAUCAUGUCUACAUAAUCUACUUUAAUCCAAUUUAUAAUUUAUAAUAUUAAUAACAAUUGGAAUUAAACCUUGGAAUGACAAUAUUUCACCAAAAUGGUGAAUAGUUUAUCUCAAUUUAUUUCGGAAUAAUCGGGAAAUGUUAGGUUUGAUCGUAGUAUUUUAUUUUGGCCAAAAAAUAAUAUUUUUUGUUCGACAGAAUAGUGAAAAUAACUUUAAUAAAUUUUGUUUUAUUCCCGAAUCAAAUGGAGCCUAGGAUAUAUGUACGUAGUAUUGCUCUUAUAUUUUGACCCUAUUAUAUAUAUAUCUACAGAGUUGUAGUUUUGUUUUUUAAUCUAUUUACAAAAAUAGGCUAUUAUUCUGAAUUCGUGAGAUAGACGAAGGGCCAACGGAUUCGUAACAUGCAGGAAUACAGGUGAAUUAAUCAUCCUAAAACUAUUUUUUUUUUUUUACUCCAAAGAUGAACCAAAAUAAAAAUUACUAAAAAUUUCAUAACUAAAAUGAUCAAAAUAAAUUAUUUCGAUUAUUAGCGGCUUAAAAUCACAAUAUAUAAGAAAAAUACAGGGAUUAGAAUAUUUGAACGAACAAUAUUGGGACCUAUUAACAGUAUGUUAUUAGUACAAAAAAUACUCGUAAAAUUAUAAAGAGAAAACUUUAAAUAUCAUCCCUAUAGUUUCAUGUUUUUUUACUAUAGUGUUCUGUGGUUUAAAAUGUAUCACUUUAGUACUUUAUGGUUUUAUUUUUUUUUCUUUUCGUUAUUUCCUACAUUAAUAUUUUUGUUAAAUCAGAGAUAUAGUUAAAACCACAAGAGUAUUAAAGUAAAAAUUUGGUAAACCAAAGAAUAUUAAAGUGAAUAUUCGAUAAACCAUAAGUGGGGUAUGUAUCUGAAGUUUUUUGUAUAUGAUUUAGCAAAGAGUUAAUGAAGAUACUCAUUGAAAAGAAAAAAAUAAAAUUAUGAGAUACUAAAAUAAUAUACUUUAAAUCAUAGAAUACUAAAAUGAAAAAAUACGAAACCACAUAAAUGAUAUUUUAAGUUUAUCCAAAUAUAAAACAUUUGAGUGUACAAUGUUUGGGAAACCAUCUGAAUAUUCACGUAUGGAGCAAUUAUUACUCCUUUACUAUUAUUUAUUGAGUUGCAAUUUUUUUUUUUCUGUUUACAAAAAUAUAAUUUUUUUCUCCGGAGAGGACUAAAACAAAUAAAAAUUAUUAGAAAUUUUGUGCCUAAGAUGAUCAAAAUAAAUUAUUGUGACAGUCAAAAAGUUAAAAAUCACAUUAUUUUAAGUGACAAAUAUUAGAACCUACUAGAAAUACGCAAUUAGUACGGAAACUAACUCGCAAAAUUUGGCCCAAAAAAAUAAAAGAAAAAAAAACCAUAGGAAAACUACACCCUCUACCUUGUUCAUCUAUAGCUUACACUUUGAUAGUGUGUCAAAUAAAUCUACAAAAUAUGAUAAAAUUGUUAUUGAAUUUAAUAUUUUUCUAAAAUCAGUUAAUAGAGGUAAAUUUUAUUUACAUGAGAAAAUUACCAUCUAUAUUUCUAUAUCUAUAUCUAUAUUCUAUAUUCUAUUUAUAUAGAUAUAUUAUUUCUCAAUAACUUCAGCGUCACGUCGAUACAUGGCAGCGGAGCCGCGGCUGGGAGCGGAUGCGGAGGCGGGGCGCACGAGGGCGCGGGCGCGGGCGCGGGCGCGAGGCGAGGGCGGAGGCGCCGGGGUGGGCGCGUGCACGGGAGCUGGCGCGGGGUGGGCUCGACACUGGUUGGAGCGAGCGAGGGCCGAGGCGGGCGCAGGCGGAGCGCCGGGUGGGUGCGAGCCUGGGCGGGGGGCCGGCAUGGCAGCGCGCGCAGCGCUGCGGUCUGCGCGGAGCGUAAAGAAAUCGGGCUCAUGAUGUUUUCACGGAGGUCACGGGCACUCCAGCUCUUGGACCAAUGAGAAGGAGGUCAUUUUAUUCUUCUCUCAUAUAUAUAUUUAAUUUUAUUUUAUAAUAUAUAGUUAUUUAAUUAUAUUAUAGUAUUUUAUUUUUUAUAUAGAUAUAUUAUUAUAUAAUAAUUUAUUAUAUAAUUUACUAUUUAUUUUUAUAAAAUAUAAAAUAUAUAAAUAAAUAUUAUAUAUAUAAUUUUUACAAAUAUUUAUUUAUUUAUUAUAUAUAGUAUUUUAUUUUUAUAUAGAUAUUAUAUUAUUAUAUAAUAAUUUAUUAUAUAAUUUACUAUUUAUUUUUAUAAAAUGUAAAAUAUAUAAAUAAAUUUUAAAUAAUUUAGACUAUUGGUAUUAGAUAUAAAUGGUAAUUUUAUAAUAUUGAGCAUUCACAUAUAAAUUGUACAUUAAAAAAUAAAAAAAAAUUGAUAUAGCUUAAGUUAAUUUUAUAUUUGACGAAAGUUAAUUGCGAGAAUCAUAAGCAAUGAUUUCCCUUCUCAUACACUAACUACUGGGGGACUAUGAUAUCUACUAAAAAUUAUUUCACUAACUAAUGGUGGACUACUAUGCCUAUUAAAAUUUUUUGAUGUACUUAUUGUACCAUUUAUUAUUUCUCAAUCCCUUAAACAUAUGGUCAUGCUUGAAAUAAUUAGUAUGGGAUAAUUUCAUUCGUAUCUCUGAAAAUAUUAGAAAUAUUAUAGAUAAUUUUACAAAAUUAGCAAUAUCAAAUCAAACAAAAGAGUUGAAGAACUAUUUCAAAAUAUCUUAUUGUUGAGAGAGCUCAUUAUAUUUUCUAUUUAAAAUUAUUUCGUAAUUUAUCCGUAAUAUUUUAUAAUUAUUAUAAAAUUAAUUUUUAUAACUAAUUUUUAAAAUUAAAAUUUAAAAUAACUAUCCACUGCAUCGCGCGGGUCCCUUAACUAGUUAUUCACAAACUUGGACUUUUUUUUUUACUUAGAGACUAGACGUGACAUUUGAGGUAAAAAUUAAUGCAAAGUUUAAUGCAAAGAGGUAAUUAAGAUAUGAUUCAAAAUAUAUGGGGUGAUUUUUAUAAUUUAGUUUCUUAUUAAAAAAAAAAAUUUCAAAACUCUGGAGUUUAUUAUAAAAAACAAUGAAAAGUUAGGGACCUUUUGGGAAAAAUCUGAAAAGUAAGGGACUUAUAUUCAAAAUUGGUGCGGCACGAACGCCUUCGAAAUCCUUUUCGAGCUCCCUCACGAAGACCUUCCCCCGAAAAUCUAGGGUUUCCGAGCGCCCCAAUCGCGGGCGCUUCACGCUCCCAAAACCCGCGCCAAGCUUCCUCCUUUCCCCGCUCGAUCCUAGGGUUUUCGCUGUCCCUUCCCCCCUGCACAGUUUGAUUCGCUGCUCUCGUCGAACUAUUGGAGAUCGAGGCGAGGUUUGGUCUUCUGAGGCUCCGGAAUCUGUUUCCGAGUUUAGGGUUUUGUUUUGUGAAAUCGAGCUGGGUUUUGGUGGUGACGGUAAUGGCGGAGGUUGGAGGGGAGUGGUAGAGGGAAAUGAUUAGGGUCUUAUUGUGUUGGCGCAUGCGGAGCUUCGCUUCUCCUCUUGGAUUUGCUCAAUCAGUGUAUGUUGAUCAUACUCUUAGCUUAAUCAGUAGAUUUGUGGAUGUUUCGCAUUUAAUGUCAAUUUUGUUGCAUUUAAUGGCUCUAUACCGCUUUUUAGCUGAGGGAACAGUGGUUUCCUUUCCUAGAGUGAUUAGUACUACGGAAAUCUCCAGUUCAAGUAAUAGCAAUGAUUCAAAAUCGAAGCAAGGAAAAGUCGAGGGGUUGCUAAUAAAAAAAAUUAGAGUUUGGGGUUCUGUUUCAAAAUGGGCUGUAAUUGAGAAGGUCUCCUAUUCCUUUAUGGAUUUUGACAUUAGGUUUGCAGUGUUAGUAGUUGUUGUUACGCGGCAUCUGGGGCACCUUUUGUGUGAUUAUGUAGUUAUAUGUUCUUGUUAGUUUGAAGCUGCUUAAGUUAUAUUGGAAUUAGUGGGGCUGCUAAAAUGUCUUAUGGUUACAAUGUUAAUUGCUUUAUCUGAUUAGCAAUAAUGAAGUUUUAUUCAUGAAUGCUGUUGUGGAAGUGAAUUUUUAUUAUCAUUUGUCAUUUUAUUAGGUGAUUGAGAAAUUCUUUUUCAAUAAAUCUUUAGAAGGUGUGAGAUGAACUUACUCAUUGACGCAAUACGUAAUUUAUUAAUUACGUAAACUGAGUGUAGCUAGUGUUGUAUUUUUAAUCUGAACCAACAUGGUAAUUUGGUCUUUUGCAUCUCAACCAUUCCAAGAUGGUGUUUGAAAUCCUUAUGACAGCAGCCCACUAGGCCAAAUUCUAAGUUUAAACAAGGUUAGCUUGCAGAAUAUGGUUUGUUUUGUGGAGUGUGUGGCAACUGCAAAGUCCAAACAGACCUGCAAAAUUCGAUCUUUUUGGCCUUCAAAGUCCAUGGGAUUAAUAUUUGUUUUUAACUGUCUCAGGGGCUGGUGCUAUCCUUUUACCUAUUUAACUUGGUGCUUUUCGUAAAGUGAGCACUUGCUCACUUGAUGUGUUUUAUGUUCUUACAAUGAGCAAGCUGGUUGUUCUGCUGAUGGCAAUUUUUUUUACCGACCUUUUUAAUUCUUUAUCAGCCUUUUUCUUCAUCCCAUAUCACUUGAGGAGCUAGAGCUGGAUUUGUGACAUUGUCUUAACAUAAAGAACUGCAUCCAGAUCUGGUAUUACUUUGUAGUGGCUACUUUAAGAUCUUGAGAAGUCCACAAUGGCAGAUGCUGGUGAAAGAACUGAUACCUCAACAGACAUUGAUGCCGAUGAGAGAAACCACAGGGUAACCAUCUUUCUCCUAUUUCCUUUUUUCCUUAAAUAUUCUUGGGGUUUUCUCUUUUCAUAUAUCCCUACAAAAUCAUCGAAUGAAAUUGUACAUAUAUUUAAGAACGGGUCCUUUUGUAAUUAUUAUAUAUGCGUAAGAUUUUGGAUUUUAAUGGGCCUAUAUGAAAAUUCAGAUUUUUGCAGGAUUUCAUAUGUGAAUAGAUAAUUUUGCAGGUGUAUGUAUUGAAUAUGUAUAUUCAGAAAAAGGUCAUUUUCUUUUCUCUUGGAUGCUGUAGUUGCAGAACAGAUUUUCAGAGCACACUCUGUAGGCAUUAGAGUGUACCAUAAUUCAUCGUCUCUUUACUUUUAUAAUAUGAUGCUAUAUCUCAUCGGCUGUUACAUGAAUAGCAGACCGUGAUUGAAGUUAAACAUAAACUUAGUGAUGGUUAUUUGUUUUUGUUAUCUGAUUGCAUGAUGUUUAGCUGUUACUUUAUGGGUACUUAUUAUGAUUGAUUUUGCUCGUUGAUGAAGGUUAAUUGAGUUAUUUAUCAGUUUGUUGAUUGUAUAUGCUUAUUGUUGUCAAUGUGCAGUUAGAACGAGGACAAACUGCUGUUGUAGCAGCUUCUGAUUCUAGCGAUAGGUCAAAGGAUAAAACUGGGGACCAAAAAGUAAUAACUUUGCUUUUAGCCUUAACUCCCAAGUAGCUGCUAUAUAUGUGGUCAUCUUUUAUAACUUCCCUUUCCACAGACUCUUCGUCGUCUUGCACAAAACCGUGAAGCUGCAAGAAAAAGCCGUUUGAGGAAAAAGGUCUGCAGAUGCAUGCUUGGAUUUUUUUUUCUUUUUUUUUCCGCACUCAUCGUAUCUAAUAAUCUUUGGUUUUUUGGAAAAGAAUCUAUUAUCUUCCAAAGUUUUUGUUAAUAUUGCAUAAUUUACAUGGAUAGGUUACUUUAGGCUCACCAUUUUACUUUCCUUUUGUUGAAAAAUACGGACAUAAGAUGAAUUGCAGUUGUUAGCAAGCUAUGAUGAGAGAACACAUAUUUAAUUAUUGUUGAAAAGAAAAGGAUGUGAUAACUCAAAAUCAACUUCAUCAUCUGUAAGAUCAAAUGCUAAACUACACCGGUAGACUCGCCUUCAUAAGAUAAAUUAGAUAAUAGCCUAAACUGCAGGAAACCCUAUGUUACUACAUUGCUGCUCUGAAGUUUCAAAACCCACAUUUUACCUUAUUUAUUGAGGACGAGAAAAAUAUUGCCUAACAGAAGGCUGAUGGAGUAAAUUGUAAAUAUUGAAAUUUCAGGGGACUAAGUGAAUCUGGCAAUAUUUAUAGUGAAAUGGAUUAUGAAUGCUGUCUAUAAAAGAGUCUCUUGUACAUAGCUAUAGAGUUUUGAACCUUGAUUUGUUGGUUUUUUAAGUUAUCGUUACUAAUUGUUCUCCUUAUAUUUCCAAAGGCAUACGUUCAACAAUUGGAGAGUAGUAGACUGAAACUUACACAACUAGAGCAGGAGCUCCAGCGGGCCCGCCAACAGGUUUCUUUGUAUUACUUGUUUUUUGAUAUUUAUUGUCAAUCAUCUAUUUUAAGGGCACUGAAUCAUUUGAGAGUUUUUUUGUCAAUAUUAUAGUCGGAGUUUAUUUAGCUAGAAUUUCUGUUGCAGGGUAUCUUUAUUUCUAGCACAGGAGACCAAUCUCAUACAAUAAGUGCGAAUGGUAAUUCCAAAAUUUGUAGUUUAUGACAUUCCUUUUUUUUCGUAAGGACUUGUGAUAAGAAGGAUGCCCUAAGAAUCUUUAGUAUGGAGCUAAGUGUUGCUUCUCUGCCGUGAAAAGUAGCAGCCAAGCAUUUGGGAAACAAAAAGCAUGGAGUUUCUUGGUCCCAAAAGUUGAAGCUCCACUUCGCAGCCUUUGCUUCUCCUGUAGCAGGAAGCUACUGAGGGAAUUUUAACGUAAAAAAAACUGCUAUUAUUUCUUUAACAGCUUAAGCAACAUUUUUGCAGAAGCUCCGGCCGGACAAAACAUGUUGUGAAAUUAAAUAUCUCAAGCCGCACUAGUUUUCUCAGGGAUGAACUGAAAAUUCUUUCUACAGGAGCUAAAUCUUUCGACAUAGAGUACGGGCGGUGGCUGGAAGAGCAUAACCGGCAGGUAAAUGAGCUAAGGGCUGCGGUGAAUGCUCAUGCUAGUGACACAGAUCUCCGUACUAUUGUUGAUGGCAUCACGACGCAGUUUGAUGAGAUUUUCAAGAUCAAAGGUGUCGCUGCUAAGGCAGAUGUCUUUCAUAUCUUAUCAGGCAUGUGGAAGACUCCUGCAGAGAGGUGUUUCAUGUGGCUUGGCGGUUUCCGCCCAUCUGAAAUUUUAAAGGUGAAAAUUUGUAUAUAUCAUAGGGAUAUUUGCAUAUGUUGCAAAAUUAUCUAUUUUAUUAUGUAUAUCCCUGCAAAUUCUGAAGUUGCAUGUGUACCCUUAAAAACAUUGCGUAUAAUGUUUGCAAAAGUGCCCCUCUUUGAAAUGCUUUCUGAGUUUUUGAAACUGGCUCCCUUCAUGUGUAUUGGAUCGACUCCGAACUUAAUAUGUAUCUUCAAUAAGAAACUGCUCUUUUGAAAGGGCUAUGUGCAAUUCAGAUUUUACAAGAGAUAACCGUAAAUAGGUGAUAGUUAUGUGAAUAUUUCUGUCCAAUUUUAUGACUGUUUGCAACUGAAUGCAAAGUCUAGGAACCCAAAUUGUAUAAGUUUGAAGGAUCCAGGACCAGACUAAAACCGUACUAAGAUACUUGAGACUUUCUUCCAUGCCUUCAUGUUGAAACUAUGUUUCUUACUAUGCUACACAACAUGUGCAGCUUCUCUCAAAUCAGCUGGAGCCUCUGACAGAGCAGCAGGUGAUGGGCUUAUGCGAUCUUCAGCAAUCUUCUCAGCAAGCCGAGGAUGCUCUCUCGCAAGGGAUGGAGGCAUUGCAGCAGUCCUUAGCGGAAACACUGGCUGGCUCUCUUGGGCCCUCAGGAUCCUCAGGGAACGUGGCGAACUACAUGGGCCAGAUGGCCAUGGCCAUGGGCAAACUCGGGACGCUAGAAAAGUUCCUUCGCCAGGUAAUUCUUCUUCUUCGAAUUUGUCAACCAACAGGUUUUUUUUCUUUUAAGUUGCAGAUAUAAUUUAGUCACAUAGUAGUAUGGUUCAUUGUUAGUUACCACCGUCCUUGGGCCAUGCUGGGCCAAAAAAUCCAAUGUGUGACCUGGCUUGGCUUCUGGAAUAGUUUAUCUACCCGAUAAUCAGUAGCCAUGUUGGGGUAAUAAAAAGAAGCUUCCGACUGGGUUGGGAGGCUGAAAUAAGAUUUUAGGCUUCAAAACCGGAAGUUCCAAUUUGAAUCCUAUGUUUUGAAUUUUAUUGGGAAAGUUCGAGGGGUGUUAAGGGAAACAUCCCUAGGGCUUCUUUUGAACAAUUCUACUAAAACAACACUUCUGCAAAUGCUAUGAUCACAAAAAAUAACUUGUCUGGGAUCCCUUAAGUUUGCGUCUUAGCUAUUAGGCCAACAUGUAUGGGCGGUCUCUGUGCUAUCCUGAUAUUGCAUUUUGGUCCCUUUAGUUUUGACCUAAAUACUUUAGCUGUCGAUAUGAAAAAUGUGACUUAUUUUGUAAAAUGGCGUUAUAAUCCUGUUUAAAGCAAAACUUUAACGAGUCAUUUUACACCUGAAAAUUCAUAGAUCAAAGUGCAAUAUAUGUGAAAGUGCGGGAAUUAAAGUGUUUAAUGAAAAGGUACAAUAAGUUAUAAAAUCGGAAUGGUAAGGGGAGUACCUCCACAUGUUGCCCUACAUAUUCUGCUGUCCUGCUUUUAUCUGUGCUGGGUUUUCGAAGAUGGGCCUGGCUUUAGAUUUUCGGCACAACUUUCACUGCAAGAUUUCUUCUUUUUUUUUUUUGUAAUAUAUAUUAUUCCUUUCGUUUUUCCUUGUCUCUUCCAGGCAGACAACCUGCGGCAGCAGACUCUGCAACAAAUGCAUCAGAGAUUAACCACCCGUCAAUCCGCACGCGCCGUCCUCACCAUACAUGAUUACUUCUCGCGGCUCCGCGCGUUGAGCUCUCUAUGGCUUGCUCGGCCCCGAGAGUAGUAACCCAAAUUAAUUAAAUAGAGAUGCUUCCGAAAAUCUAGUUAAUUUUAAACUGUACCCUGGACCCAAAUUAAUUUAAAAAAAAAAAAUUGAUGCAGGUUUCGUAGGAUUGGUUCGGUUGUAUAGGGUUUGAUUGCAUCCACUUGUUCAAAAGUGUAACAUUAACUUUGUUACCAGAAUUGAUUGUUGAUAGAUGUUGUACUUCUACAUGUACUUGUAAAUCUGAUGAUGCUUUGAGCUUUUUCCGUGUAAUGCAACAGAUGAGCGAAAAGUUGAAAACCCCCGUGUAUUUGAUGCUGAAUUUGUGUUCAGUUUGUUGAAAAACUGUUUGUAUUAUUUGGUGCUUGUGGUUCUGUGGUUUGAAAACCAGAUCCCCAAAUGUUUCUUUCGCAAAUGGAAAAAAAUCCAGUAUUUAUCUAGUACCAAAAAUCCUUUUGUUUUUGUUAUUUUUUUAGGGAAAACUUCAAAAAACCUCCUUGUGGUUUCAAUUUUUUUCACUUUAGUAUCCUGUGGUUUAAAAUGUAUCAAGUUAGUAUCUUGUGGUUUCUCACUUUAUCACUUUAGUAUCCUGUGGUUUAAAGUGUAUCAAGUUAGUACCCUGUGGUUUUGCAUUUUAUCACUUUAGUACCCUAUGGUUUUGAUUUUGUAUCAAAUUAGUACCCUGUGGUCUUUUAAACUAUAGGGUACUAAAGUGAUAAAGUGUGAAACCACAUGGUACUAAAGUGAUAAAGUACAAAACCACAACGUACUAAUUUGAUACACUUUAAACCACAGGGUACUAAAGUGAUAAAGUGAGAAACCACAGGGUACUAAUUUGAUACAAUUUAAACCACAGGAUACUAAAAUGAAAAAGUGUGAAACCACAUAGGGGCUUUUUGAAGUUUUCCCUUUUUUUUAGCUAUAGCCGCAUCUAAUAAAUCGUUUUUAGGGCCUGUUUGUUUGUCCGUAAAAAGCGGAAAAUUACUCUUAUGUUGAGCUAAAAUUUAUGUGAAAUGCUUUUUUUUGGCCACUACCAUUUGCUUGAGUUUUGAAAUUGUAGUUAUCUCAUUUAUUUUAACUUAUUAUAUUUAAAAUUUUUCGUAUUAAUAAUAUAUAAAAGGGAGAAACAAAAGUUAUAACACAAUUUUUUUUUUAUUUAUUUUGUUCCAUCUUUAUAUUUUUUUUUGUGUAAUUGACUUUGCCGCUCGCUACUCAAGGCGAAGUUAAUUACGGUGUUAAAACUGUAGUUAAAGAUGAAUUUAAUUUAUUAUAGCAGAUUGAACAACAUAAGACGAUAUUUACGGUCGAAAAUAACUUCACACUUCGUGAACUUUUUUCGAGAAGCAAAAAAACAUUGCAAAACAAAAACACAAAAAAAAAAUAAAUAAAUAAAUUAAAACAAUAAAAACAUAAUAGAGAUGCGGGGUAUCGAUCCCCGUACCUCUCGCAUGCUAAGCGAGCGCUCUACCAUCUGAGCUACAUCCCCACUUGAUUUAAAAGGUUUAAAUUUAAAUUUAAAUCUUGUUACUAAAAUAAAAUUCAAGGUGACAAAACAUUAAAAAAGGAAAAAGAAAAUGGGAAAUAAAAAUUGAAAGCAUUAGAGUGGAAAAAACAUGAAAAUAUAUGAGGAUAGUGGAUUUGUUCAUGUUUUUUCUUAUCCUUCAAUUAAACAAGUUAGAUUUUCUCCUCUUCUUUUUUUUGGUAAAAAAAAGCUUAUUAAUGUUUUUUUAUUUUGUUUCCAUCCAGACUAGAUUGAAAUUUAGACCAAACAACUGGAAAUGAAGGAAUUGGUUCCUCGAGAAAUAUUUCUGAAACUAGUUUUCUGGCUAAAAAAGUAUUUUCUAUCUGUUUGUUUCCUAAAGAAAGUAGUUUUUCUGAAAUUCUUUUUUCAGAUUUUAUGAAAGAGUAGUGUUUUCAUUUCUCAAAAUUUUUUAUCCAGAAAAUAAAACUACGGAAAUGAUGUUUUGUUUUGUUUUUUUUGUUUUGUUUUUUAUGUUUUUUUUUGUCUUGGAAAACAGUUUUUCACAAAUUUUGGAGAACCUAUUAUGAUGGAAUGGUUGUUAAUUGUUUAUAAUAUUGAAUAGUUUGGGCCCAUUUAGAUAAUUUAAUGAGUAAUUUGACAAUAAUUUGUGCGAUAUAAUUAAGAUUUUUUUGUUUUUUUUUUUUGUGAUUAAGUUUUAGCAAUGGUAAAACCUCAUACUUAUAGGUUAAAACUUUGUCCCCCAUAUUUUAGGUCAUUUUGAAAUUAGGCAUCUUUAACAUCUUUUAUUUAUUUUUUCUUGGCAUUUACUCACCCUCUAAUUAUUUUUUCUUUUUCGAGUUAUUUUGGUCAGUUAAAUUAGAGAUAUUGCUUCUAUUGAUGAAUUUUCUCAGUCUGUAUCUAGUGAUUAAUUAAAUAAAAUCGCCUCAGGGCGUGUUUUCUCUCUCUCUCUCAAAAAAAAAAAAGAGAUAUUGCUAAUAUUCAACAGCUUUGUUAGUUAUUUGUUGUUAAAUUGUUCUAAUUUUACCUAAAAAGUAAUUAGAGCAAUUGAACUUAACAAUAAUCACUAUUGAAUUUUGUAAAAUUUUCACUUUUCCUUCACUAGAAUCACACAAAUAAAAAAAUAAAAAAAUAAAUCAAAAGUUUGAAGGGGGAAUUAUUUAAAAAAAAAAACUUGAAGGGACCAUUUCAAAAUGUCCUAUUGCCCUACAAUAUUAGAACAUGAUGUUAUUGGUUUUUUUUUUUUUUUUAACAAAUUGCAAUAAUUUUAUCCAUAUAUUAAAAAAAAAACAAACAAAACAAACAAAGAAAACAAAAACCACCCUCCUGAAUUUUGGCCUGGUCUUAUAUUCUGCAGACAAAUUUUCCAUUCAAGAUUCAACUCCUUAAAAUCAGCAAAUUAACCAAACAAGUGAGUCCAACAAAAAAAUUUGGUUGUGUGCUUCAAAUAAUGCCAAUGAAAACCCUAAUUUUAGGGUUUAUGAAAAUAGGGUCACUAAUUCCCUUUUUUCUCCCUUCAAGUUUCUCAUCUUGUAUAAAUUUAUAAAUGGAUCUCUCUACUUAAACCAACCAUCUUUAAUUUAGCCAUGGGAGAUUGUGCUCCAUUUCAAAACCCUAAUUUUAACAAGCCCAUGUUGUCUAGUCCCAUUACUAGUUGCACCAAAUCUCUCUCUCAUAGUGCACCACUCUAUCUCUACUACAAUGAAUGUAGCCCAUCCAUUGACCUAACCGAAUCGAAGAUCGAUUGCGAUUCCAACGAAUUCGAGUUUGAUUCGCACCGACGAUACUCGCCCCCCUCGAAUUCUAGCGACCCGCAACAAGCGUUCGCCGACGAGCUCUUCCAUCGAGGAGAAUUGCUCCCGCUUAAGCUCCCGCCGCGACUCGAACCACUUUGUGUUAGUGCAAAGUGUGGCCAACCAAGCUCAUGCACAACUUCACCUACCAUGCUUGUGAUCUCAACAUUGAAGAGCCCAUUUGCAAGGGUUAGAUCUCAUGACAAGGGAUUUGAUCCCUUCAUGGUGGCACUAGAGAAGGUUAGGAAGGAGGAGAGGGUUCGAAGAGAUCGAGGAUCACCGCGUCGAAGAUCGCGAUCUUUGUCGCCUUUUAGGAGCUCAUUUUUGCUUUGGAAAGAGGAUCCAAGUGUGAAUCUACCACUAAAUGAGGUGACUACAAUGAAAAUUAGUGGAAAAAAUGGGAUUAAAGGGACUUUUUCUUUGAGGGUUAGUAUAAAAGGAAUAAGGGAUUUGUUGUUGUUUAGGAGCAAAUCACAAGAGAAGAAGAAGAAGCCACUUAUAUCUUGUGGACUAAGUCCUUUAGUGUGCUUUGGAUUUAGUUAGUGAGGUUUGAGUGGAAUAUCAUAAAGUCAUUAUUAAAGGUUAAGAUUAAUUGGGCAAUUUACAGUGUUUGGAACUUCAAAGUUAAUUAUUCUUCUUCUUUUUUCGUUUUUCUUAGUUUAUAUAUAUAUUUCAAUUAUGAUGCGAUUUCGAUUGGGUAAGAGUGUGAUCGUGUGUCGCUAUGAUACUGGCGUGCUAACAAUUAUUUUUUUAAUUUUUUUUAUCUAUUAAUACAGUUGGUAGAAACAUAUUUCUUAUAUUUUCGCAAUUGAUCAUGUUUCUGUGAGGAUAUUACACUUAAAUUAAAAUUAUGGCUCAUAUUGAUCGAAGAAACAGGUAGUUUUAAAGUUUUUUUUGAUUUUGGUAUGUAAUUAACCUUUUAAUUUAUUUAAUUAUACUCGUUUGAUAGUUUUUCGGUUAUAAAUUUUGGGUGUGCCACGAUACUCUAAUCAAGUAUGUUAAAUAAACUACGCACUCAAAUUUUAAAAUUAAAAAGUUGUUAAAUAGCUAAAAUCAGAUAUAUUAAAAUUUGUGUAACGAAAUGUAAAACUUUUAAAGAUAAAGAGGUUGAAUUAAAAUGGAUCAUAGCGGAGAUAAAUUUCAUGCAUUUUAACCAUCUUAACCUUUUUUUUUUUCUCAAAAAAAAAAACUAUUAUGUUGUUGAAAUAUUUAGCUGUGCCCAGAUUGAAUGAGGAGCCCAACCCUUUAAUUCCUAGCUAGUCCUUGUGUGGAAUUUUUUUACUAAAAUGGUUAAAUGUAAAUUUAUAUUUUAAAAUAGUUGAGAUAUUUCAUAUAAACAUCAUGUAAGUAACUUUUGGAAUAGUUAAUUUAUGGGAUAAUUGCCUCUAUACCCCUCGUGCUCCUGAAAAUAUUCGAUCUAUACCCCUACUUUUUUUUUCUUUCUAAAAUGUCCCUCAUAUGUUCCACCGUUAUUUCAAAUUACACCGCAGUUAUUCCCUGUUAGCUUAAUUCGGAUUAAACAUGAGUUAAAUGUAUACUAGAAUUAAAACCUAUAUAAAAUACCUAUUUUGCCCCUACCUUAUUAUACUAAUCCCUUAAGUUAUUCUCUUUUUCUCUCCCAACUUGGUCGGCAGCAGCUCACCACCACCGGCGCCGGCUCCUCCGCCUCCACCUCGCCUUAUCUCCUCUCAGACCACCACCGCCACCACCUCCCACACCUCCCCCUCCAACACAAGCCACCAAUUCAACAAUCCCCAAAAGAUAAACACCAAAUUAAUUAACACAUUAAAACCCUUAAAAAUCCAAUUUCAAGAACACCCAAUUAACCCUUUUCUCUUCCGCUCAAUCCAAACCGCACAGAUCGAUCCACACCCCCUUCAAAAAAAACGCAUCGAUACACAAAAACCCAACACGGAAACCUACAAAAGAGGGAGAUCAAAAGGGGGAACCCAUAUGAGAAAUUAAGGAGGAUCCAUGGCGAGGGAUCUCACCUCCUCCUCUCCCUUCGCAUUACCUCCUCCUCCCCUUUGUCUCGCCUCAUCGCCUCAUCUCGCCGCUCUCAUCGUCCUCCUUCUCCGCCGCUCUCGUCGUCGUCCUCCUCCUCCUCCGCCGCCUUGGCCGGCGUCGGGAGCAAGAGGGCCGCAGCGAUGAUCCCGUCUCGCCCCAGGCCGUCCGCGUGCUGGGAGCAAAAGGGCGCGGUGUUGCACGCGGAGGGGAGAAAUGGCGCGGUGUUGCGCGGUCCACAAGGCCAGUUUGGUCUCGUGGACCGGAUGAGAGAGAGGUCCACGGUGGACCUCCCUCUAUAUAUAUAUAUAUAUAUAUAUAUAUAUAUAUAUAUUUAUAAAGCGGAGAUAAAUUUCAUGCAUUUUAACCAUCUUAACCUUUUUUUUUUUCUCAAAAAAAAAAACUAUUAUGUUGUUGAAAUAUUUAGCUGUGCCCAGAUUGAAUGAGGGCCCCAACCCUUUAAUUCCUAGCUAGUCCUUGUGUGGAAUUUUUUUACUCAAAUGGUUAAAUGUAAAUUUAUAUUUUAAAAUAGUUGAGAUAUUUCAUAUAAACAUCAUGUAAGUAACUUUUGGAAUAGUUAAUUUAUGGGAUAAUUGCCUAUAUACCCCUCAUGCUCCUAGAAAUAUUCGAUCUAUACCCCUACUUUUUUUUCCUUUCUAAAAUGUCCCUCAUAUAUUCCACCGUUAUUCUAAAUUACCCCGCAGUUAUCCCCUGUUAGCUUAAUUCGGAUUAAACAUGGGUUAAAUAUAUACUAGAGUUAAAACCUAUAUAAAAUAUCUAUUUUGCCCCUACCUUAUUAUACUAAUCCCUUAAGUUAUUCUCUCUUUCUCUCCCAACUUGGUCGGCAGCAGCUCACCACCACCGGCGUCGGCUCCUCCGCCUCCAUCUCGCCUCAUCUCCUCUCAGACCACCACCACCACCUCCCACACCUCCACCUCCAACACAAGCCGCCAAUUCAACAAUCCCCAAAAGAUAAACACCAAAUUAAUUAACACAUUAAAACCCUUAAAAAUCUAAUUUCAAGAACACCCAAUUGACCCUUUUCUCUUCAGCUGAAUCCAAACCACACAGAUCUAUCCACACCCCCUUCAAAAAAAACGCAUCGAUACACAAAAACCCAACACGGAAACCCACAAAAGAGGGAGAUCAAAAGGGGGAACCCAUCUGAGAAAGGAGGAUCCAUGGCGAGAGAUCUCACCUCCUCUCCCUUCGCAUUACCUCCUCCUCCUCCUUGUCUCGCCUCAUUGCCUCAUCUCGCCGCUCUCAUCGUCCUCCUCCUCUGCCGCUCUCGUCGUCGUCCUCCUCCUCCUCCUCCUCUGCCGCCUUGGCCGGCGUCGGGAGCAAGAGGGCCGCAGCGAUGAUCCCGUCUCGCCCGAGGUCGUCCGCGUGCCGGGAGCAAGAGGGCGCGGUGUUGCACGCGGAGGGGAGAAAUGACGCGGUGUUGCGUGGGGAGGGGAGCAGCGGGUGUGCGCGGUCCACAAGGCCAGUUUGGUCUCGUGGACCGGAUGAGAGGGAGGUCCACACGGUGGACCUCCCUCUAAUUNGCAUCUGCGCCACAUCGUCGCCUCCCAGGUGCUCGAUCUAAAGUCUAAACCACCCCUAUUAGCUGUACAUAUCAUCCUGUCACUAAUGACAAUUAUUAAGUAAUUAGCGCUUAAUUAUUUAAUAACUAUGUUCCUGUAAAUCAACUGUCGUGUUUUCUGAUGAUAAUAAUAAUAAUAAUAACUAAUAGAUUUAUUCAUAUAGUAUUUUAUUUUUAUAUAGAAAUAUUAUUAUAUAAUAUUUUAUUUAUAAAUUUGUAAUUAUUUAUUAAUAUUUUUAAAUAUAUAACUCUUAUAUAUUAUUAAUAUAUAUUUAUUAUAAUUUUAAAUAUAUUUAAUCUAUAUAUAAAAAUUAUAAUAAUAAUAUAUAUAGUAUAUUAAUUAUUAUAUAUUUAUUAUAUAGCCGAAUUUUUUAUCCCGAAUUUUUAAUUGGUGAACAUAUAAUACCCGUAUAAAUCACGUAUCCGAAUAAUUGCUGAAUCUGUUUUUUAGCCGUAUUUUUCAACAAAUUUAAAAAUUAAAAGACGAAUUUUAUCCGAAUUAUAUCUAUACUGAAUUUUUGUCGAAUCCGAAUUAAUUAACUAUGCCUCUAGCCACCAAGGUUGGUUUAGCUGCGAUCGAUUUCAUCCGUUCAUCUGCUCGCUUCUAACGUGCUUAAUUAAUUAAUUGAUAUUUGAAGGGUAAAUAAGAAAAGUAUUUGCUAUAUGAAGGGUAUAUAAGAAAAGUUAGUUCCAGUAUAAGGGUAUAUUGGAAUGGGCAAAAUAGUAAUUUUUCAGAGAUAACGGCAACUGUUAACAGUUCACUAACGGAAUUUAACUCCAGGGGUAUAUUAGAAAGAAGUUGGAGCAUAAAAAGAGUAUUUUCAAUAUUAGCCUUCUAAGAGGGGUAAAUAAGAAAAUCAGAAACUUUUCAGGGGUAUAUAGGCAAUUGCCUCUUAAUUUAUUAUGUGGUAGGGUGGAUAUAUAUUGCUUAAAUUACAAUUUAAAGCAUUUUUGUCCAUUUUAAGUGAGUAAUUUUAAUGGAAGAACUUUGAUUGUAAUGAAAUAAAUAAAUAUUAAUUCAUGUUUUGAUUAUACUAAGAAUUAAAUCAAGGGUUUGAGGAUCAAAUGAAACUGCCCCAUAUAUAAAUGUUGAUGAAUUAUGAAGCAAUUUUCCCGGAACGAGGAUAAUAACACAAGAAUCCCCCUUUUCAUAUUCUUUUCAUUUUUGUAAAAAAGUACUAAAAUGAAAAAUUUAAAUUAGUUGUCAUAAUCUAGAACAUCUAAAGUGCUCCAUGUAUUUAAAAAAAAUAAGGAUAAACUUCAAAUACCACUUCUGUGAUUUCGCACUUUUUCACUUUAAUAUCAUAUGGUUUAAAAGUGUAUCAAUUUAGUAUUCUAUUAUUUUAUUUUAUUUUUUUCGUCGGUUCUUCCGUUAACUCUUUAUUAAAUUAUAUACAAAAAAUUUUAGAUAACUCAUCUAUAGUUUAUCGAAUAUUCACUUUAGUAUUCUUUAAUUUUAACUUUGUCAGUGAUUUAACAAAAAAAAAAUAAUGAAAAAGAUAAUAAAAAGAGAAAAAUAAAAUUACAGGGUACGAAAGUGAUAUAUACUUUAAAUCAUAGAGUACUACAGUAAAAAAGUACGAAAUCACAGGAGUAGGAAGUUUUUCCAAAAAAAUAUAAUUUUUUUUUUUUUUUUUUAAGAGAUAGGUAGCGUGCUACUCGCUUCGUUUAUUUCAUUUAGAAAUAAACUUAGCUAGAAAUGUGAAUCAACUGGAAUUCGAACUUGAAUCUCAGGUACCAACCACUAAGCCUUUUACCACUUGCUUUAGGGACGGUCGGUGAAAAAAAAUAUAAUUCUUAGAAAUCUUUUUUUGGCAUAACAAACAAACUUAGCGCCGAAUCUUUACAGUAAUAUAAUAAUAAAAGUUACUGGAUAGUAAAAUAAUUUUUUUAAAAUCAUAGAAUAGGAUAUGCAAAUACGCUAAACCAAGAGCAAAUUGGAGUUUCUUUAGAACAUAAUAAACCGAACCCUCCGCUAAAUUUGCUAACUAAUUAAACCAUCACUUUAUAUCCCUUCCCCUCUUCUUGCCGUGAGAAAUGCUCCACCAUUUACGCCUCUCUCUCUCUCUUUUUCCAUAGCCACAUAUUAUUCACAUCAAAAUCAAAUAUAUAUAUAUAUAUAUAUAAAAUUCUAUUAUUCUAAUUUUUUACUGCACCAGCUAAGAAGAGGUGCUACGUUUUUCUUUUUUUUAUCAUCAACAUUGUCGAUCAUCAUUUUUGCCGGCCACAACGGCCGCAGGCUAGACUUUCUACCACAUGACCGAAUCUCCGCCUGACACCGCCACCGCAAACACGACUUCCGGCACUAACGCCGCCGCCGCCGCUGUCGAACCACCGCCGCCUCCGCCGCCGCCACCGCCGCCGACGCCGAUCGUCCUCCUCCACGGCGCCGCCCGCACCACCGGCACCCUCUUCNCGUGCCGCCUCCCCUCCCCCUCCAACCUCCUCCUCCACCACCAUCACCACCACCACCACCACCGCCGCCGCCACGACGGCCACAUCCACGGCGCCGCCCGCACCACCGGCACCCUCUUCGGCCACCGCAAGGCUCGCAUCACCAUCGCCUUCCAGGUGUUUACAUAUACAUAUCACACUACUAUUUCAUCGUAUCGUAUUCUUUCUUACGUGUGUGUAUAUAUAUGACAUGCAUUACACGUGCACUUUACUAGUACGAAUAUAUAUAUAUAUAUGAAUGACAUGAGUAAAAUGUAUGAUAUUUAGGAUACGCCGCGGAGCGUGCCGCGGAUGCUGGUGGAGCUGGGGACGCCGACGGCGAAGUUCAUCCAAGAGAUGGGGGCGUCGGGGCUGCUGCGGGUGGCGCUGGAGUGCGAGAAGAAGCCGGCGGCGGCCGGGGAGAGGAGCAGUAGUAGUCCGCGGCUGCUGGAGGAGCCGGUGUGGUCGGCGACGAUCAACGGGCGGAGCGUGGGGUACGCGGCGCGGCGGGAGGCGACGGAGUCGGACGUGCGGGUGAUGCAGCUGCUGCACGCGGUGUCGAUGGGCGCCGGCGUGCUGCCGGCCGACAUGACCGACCCGGCCGACGGCGAGCUGACCUACAUGCGCGCCUACUUCGACCGCGUCGUCGGCUCCAGAGACUCCGAGACCUUCUACAUGCUCAACCCCGACGGCAACAACGGCCCCGAGCUCACCAUCUUCUUCGUUAGGAUCUAAAUUCAACUAUUAACCCUAAUUAAUUACUUAAUUAAUUAAGAACCCUACCUAAUUAAUUAAUUAAUUAACUUCUUCUUUCUUAAUUUUUUCUUUAAUUUCUUUUUCUUUUUUACAUAUAUAUACUCUGUUUGUGACGCGCGCUUACUUUGGUCCUCAAAUUUUUAGGUUGUUAUAUAUUUUUUUGGCUUAAAUUUUUUAAAUUGUUAAAUUUUAAGAAUCAUUUUAGGCUUGAUUUGAUAGUGAGGUGGGUACAAAAUAUUAUUUUUAUACUGUAAAAAAUUAACAAAACUAAUAACUCCUUUGAAUUUUUUUUUUACACUAUAAAAUUACGAUUGCAAAGUAGUUAUAACCUUGUUUUUCAAUUUAAUUUUUAAAUUUUGUACAGUAUGAAAAUGGCGAUUUUAAUCACCGUGUUAUCAAACUAAGCGUUAGUUGACUCGACGAUAAUAUUUUGCCGAUGUGAUAGUGAUAUAAUAUUUUAAUAAUUAUUGUAUUAUCAACUACAACGCUAUCUUUUUAGUGACAUAUUAUUAUUUAAAUAAUUAUAAAUUGGAAUGCGGAACUAAUUGCAAUAAUUUUAAAAAAUUUAGUUGGAAAAUCGCAAGAAAACCUCCAAGUUUGAGGACCAAAAGUGAAGUUUAGUUUAUUAUUAUUAUUAUUAUUAUUAUUAUUUUCUUUUGUUUUCUGUUUAAUCUGUUUUGUUCAUAAUCAUAAUAAGAUGUUAAGAAUGGUAAUACUCUAUUGUAUAACUGUAUAUGAUAAUAAAAGUUUUUGUAUCUAAUGUUAAUGGAAUAGCCUUUAGUUUUUUUUUGAGAGAGAGAGAAAUGCUAGCCAUUUUGUUUAUUUUUUUAAAAAAAUAAAUUUAGCUGAAAAUGUAAAUUAAUUAGGAUGCGAAUUUAAAAUAUCGAUUAUCAAUCAUUAAAUCUUUUAUCACCUGUGCUAGGGACAGUCAGUGGAAAGGCCUUUUAGUUAGAUAUAUUCAAAUAUAGAACCUACAUAAUAUGUAAUUCACAAUUCGUUUAUUUGCAUCGGAUUUUAACAAUUAUAUUCAAUUUUCAUAACUAAUAUAUGUAGCAUGAAAAAUUCUAGAACAUACCCGUAAAUAAAGUGCAUAUCUCGUUGGCGUUUGAUUCUAACAAAAUAUUUAAAAUGACUAACAAAAAAAAAAUCUAAAUUAAACUGUUAAUAAAAAAAUUUUGAAAAAAGUUUAGGGUGUCUAUUUGAAAACGAAUUAAAUUUUAGGGGGCGCCUAUACAUUUUAACCAAAAAAUAAUGGGGAGUUUUGAGUAAAACCCAUGGUCCGGUCCGACCGGUACCUCUCUAAACCGGAUCCGGUUCAAGCAAUAAACCGCUCCGUCGCUUCGCCCGGUCGCGAGCUAGGGUUUAGGGUUGAGGGCCUUAAACCUUCCUCUCCCUUCUCCCAUGGUGGUCGAGAGCUAGGGUUUCGAGGGUUUCUCCGUCCCCACCACCUCUCCCCUUCUUCUUCUAGCCUCUUCUCUAGGGUUAUUGGGCAUCUUCUUCCCCUCUCCCCAUCGCACGAUUUCGGAGUGCUCGAGAUCACCAUGUGGGCGAUUCGCCGCGCCGCAAUUCCCGUGAGGUGAUGCUUCGAUCUUGCCCACUAUUUCGAUCAUUUUCCAUUUGUUCCUUACAAGAACAGCAUGUGUUUUCGAGUUAAUUUGUAUUCGGUGGUGACCCCAUUUCUCCCUUGAGGCCUGCUUGGCCCUGUUGUUGUUGGAUGAAGUGCUGGUGCGAGUAGUGCUUUUAGAAGAAGCAUUAUGUUGAGAUCCCUUCCACAUUUUCUCUGCAACAGAAGCAGAAGCACCGAAUUGGAGCUUCUGCUUUCGGGCCUCAGAAUCUCAUUUCUAAUUUCCGUAGCUGUCGAAGCGCCGAACUUUUCACUCUGCUAGAGGUAACUGUUGCUGAAAGCAAAAGCACAGGUGGGCCUUAACAAGUUUUAGGAAGAAUUUGGGAUUUAGGGUUCGCGUAAAGUAACAUGCGAGAUAGAAUAGUGAUGUUAGAGGAGAAAAAUGAUGGUAAAAAAUAUUUCUUUCAAGGGUAAAUGUUUGUUUUUACAAGAAAAUGUAUGGUUAGUUUUAGUUUGACCUUGAGGAACAAAUUUGCAAAAUUUCAAAUUCAGGGGGAUCUAUUUGGCAACUAAUAACUUUGAGGUACAAAUGCAGAAUCCAAACUUUUCAGGGACAUAUGUGAAGAUACUGGAAUUACUAUUUACAUGGAAGAACUUCUUGUUUCGGUUGUAUGAGUAAUCAAACAUUCAUUUGCUGAAUUUUAUGUAACACUUUGUCUUCGCCAAAUAAUUGACUAAAUUUGUUUUUUUCUUCUCGGAAAUGUUUUCUUGGUUGUUAAUAAUUGGAGUAACAUUUGUUUGUCCCGCUCAAAAUUUUGUGUAAAUUGAUCUAUAUGAUCAAAUUAUGGGCUUGUAUGCAAAUUAUUCGUUAAAAUCAUUAUAAUUUCACUAUAGGAGUAAUGGUUAAAUUCUAAUUAUCUCUUGUUAUGCUCAGGAGCCACACUCACCAAUUUGUGGUUGCUCGUUGUUGUCACGCCAUACCGGAAACACCAAGCAAUGACUUAGAGCAAAGAGAGGUGCGCCAAGGAAAAGAGUAUGGCCGUUCCCAUAGCUACUAUAUCCCAAAGUCCCUCCUCUGUGGCUCUUCUAUUUCUCCUACUUUCCUAUGGGGUAGGAAUCUUUCUUCUCAGGCUUGCGUUACGUCCAAUAGUAAAGCGGAUGACGCAGAGGAGGGCUUUUCUGAUCUUGAUGUGCCUCCUGAAACUGAUAAUUCGAUUGACUUAUCUGAAGAAGGUAACUUAUCGGAAGAAGAUUCCGGUGAAGCUGCUGAUAAAUCUAUUGGCUUAGCAGACAGCGAAUCUGAUUUGAAAGGUAAAAAGGUGUCAAGUAAGAAGGUAUGCUCAACUCCUCUUUUCAAGAUUAUAAUAGAUGCUUCAAGACCAGCUGUAACGGGAGCGCUUAACAAAUGGGUUGAGGAAGGCAAUGCAUUGGGACGAAAUGAAGUAUCUUUCACGCUUCUUACUCUUCGCAAGCGGAAAAAAUAUGCAAAAGCACUACAGGUCCUGAAAUUUUCCUUAUUCACCUAGUAGUUUUUCUUUUUUCCUGUAGAAUAUUCUGUAUGGCAAUUCUUUUUCAUGUAUUAUAUUUUUCUUGCUUCAUUUUUGGUGAAAUUGUUGGGUGGCUUCCAGACAUGCUAAUAAUAUUCAGCUGAACCUAGAUGAGAAAAUUAUGCUGAUGAUUUUGCCUCUAUAUGUUAAUUAUAAUAGGCUUUAAUAUGUACUUUGCCGGUAUAGUCAGUUAAAUGGCUUCGAAGUCUGAAUAGUAAUCAAGGCUAACUGGAUUUGAGUUAUGAAAAAAAGGAAGUGUGAUUUCGCUAUCGCAUCAAGUUUCAUGCUCUAACGCAUAGAAAUAUUAGGUGAGGUUUUUUGAGCAAGAGCUCGACGAAAAUAGGAUGAUGAAAAUUCCACUUUAUUAAACCAGAUCAAACCGAAUAGCAGAGAUGGAUGGAAUUGAACUAAACCUUUUUUGUGUGUUCAGUUUAGGUCAAAUUGUUUGGGCCUAUUCUUCUUUCAAAUUUGGGCCUUACUUUAGUUGGAUUUCAACUGUUACAUUUUCUUGUUAAUUUUCAAUGCUGCUUAAUAACUUAGAAUAUUAGUUUGUUAUCUAGUGAUCGUAAUUCGUGGUCUAUUUCUUUAGCUCAAGGAUUGUUGUGCCACCGGCACGGGGUGCGCUGGUGCCCAUUGGCACGGGGUGUGCUUGUGUGCUAGCGGCAGAGCACAGUACGCUGACAUAUCUCAGCACACACUCUGUUUUAAUUGUCAACGCGAUCGGCACAGGCGGCAUGCCCUUAUUGGCAUGGGUGGCACAGCCUUAUCAGUACAGGCGGCACGUGCCGACCAUGCCAGACUGUGGCAACUGGCACGAGAAUUCUUGCUUUAGCUAUACAUGAAACAUGCAUAAUAUAGUCUUUAACUUUUAAUGCUACCAUGAAAACAUACUGGAGGAAUGGGAUCAUUUUUCGAGUAAAAUGUGUCUGUGUAAUUUAAUUUUAUUUGAGCCUGGGGUGCUCUACCUUUUCUCCUAUAUUUCUUCUGCUGUUCCCCCUCUUUUUCAUCUAAUUUCUUGGCCUUUUUUUCGCUUUCUCUACCUUGUAACAUCCGAUUAAAUAUAUUAUAUCGCAAUCAAUAGAUCAGCACAUUGUAGAAUCCAAACUUUCUGGAUAACAAUUGAACAAGAAUGAUGCCUUCACAAUUAGGAGAUUGACACCAAUAUUUCCAUAAAAUAAUUAGUUGCAAUCUAUGACAAAUAAACUACAAUUGCAAGAGAAACGACACCAGAAUCGGUACGGCGUAAGGUUUGUGCAGAGAAGAUCAUUGAUUACUGUGUUUCAAUAAACUACUGAUGCACUUUUCCCUGUGCCGUCUACCUCUUCUGUUAGAUUUUUCUCUAUUUAUCCUUGUUUUUCUGUUAAUGUUUGUUUCUUCUUCUUCUUUUAUUCUACUUUACGGCAUCUGAUCAUCAACACUGGACGGCUCAUAUUAAUAAAAGUAAUGUCUCUGAUGCUAUAAAUCAAGUGUAGCUCAAUCAUGAUUUUGUUCUGAAGUGCAGAAGUGCUUUCAUAUAUAAACAGUAUUUACUAAGUUCAGAAAAGCCAACAGGCAGCAAGUCAUGAAGUUUUACCAAAGACAGCUAUUUUCUUUUGGUUGUUCAAUCUCAGUUCUUUCUCUCAAAUUAUUGUGCAGUUUAUGGAGUGGCUAGAAUCAACCAAGCGCCUAGAUUUUGCUGAGCGUGAUUACGCUUCGCAGCUAGAUUUGAUUGCCAAAGUGUACGGCAUCAACAAAGCUGAGAAGUUCAUCGAGAAAAUUCCCCAAUCCUGUAGAGGCGAGAUAAUCUACCGGACCCUUCUGGCCAAUUGUGUCGGUGCCGUCAAUGUAUCAAAAGCCGAAGAAGUCUUCAACAAAAUGCGCGAUCUUGGCUUGCCGAUCUCUACCUUCGCGUGCAACCAGUUGUUACUUCUUUACAAAAGAAUCAACAAGAAGAAGAUAGCUGAUGUCCUUUUACUGAUGGAAAAGGAAAAUGUGAAACCCUCUCUCUUCACUUACAAGCUUCUAGUGGACACUAAAGGCAUUAGCAAAGACAUAUCCGGUAUGGAACAGAUUAUGGAGACGAUGAAGAGUGACGGUAUCGAGCCAGAUUUUGUGAUUCAAGCCAUGGUUAUAAAGCACUACAUCUCCGCAGGUCUUAAGGAUAAGGCCGAAGCUGCUUUGAAGGAAAUGGAAGGCAGUGAUAUUAAAGAGAACCGUGCUUCUUGCAAGGCGCUUCUCCCUCUCUACGCUGCUCUCGGGAAAGCCGAUGAAGUUGAAAGGAUUUGGAAAGAGUGCGAGGCUAGCCCCCGUAUAGAUGAGUUUUUAGCCGUUAUAGAAGCUUGGGGAAAGCUAGGGCUGGUAGAAAAGGCCGAAGAGGCUUUUGAGGAAGUGCUGAAGAAAUGGAAGAAGCUUUCUUCAAUGUACUACACUGCCCUGUUGAAGGUUUAUGCAAACCAUAAGCUUCUCUCUAAGGGGAAGGAUUUAGUUAAGAGAAUGUCUGAUAAUGGCUGCAGAAUUGGUCCUACGACUUUGGACGUGCUGGUGAAGCUUUACGUAGAAGCUGGUGAGGUCGAAAAAGCUGAUUCCAUACUGCAAAGAGCUAAUCAGAAUAAUCAGAUUAAGCCCCGCUACAACACAUACAUUACUUUGCUGGAAAAUUAUGCAAAAAGGGGAGAUAUUCACAAUUCAGAGAAGGUAUUCAACAGGCUGAGACAAAUUGCGUAUGCUGGGAGGAUGAAGCAGUAUCAGUUGCUACUUCUAGCUUAUGUUAAUGCGAAGACCCCUGCGUACGGGUUUAGAGAGAGAAUGAAAGCGGAUAAUAUUUUCCCGAACAAGGCGGUGGCCGCGCAACUCGCUGCUGUUGAUGCUUUUAGGAAGACGCAGAUAUCCGAAUUGCUUGAUUAGGUUAUAAUUUCAUUAGUAGGUAACUUUGUAUUGUGAUGAUACAUGGAUUUACUCUAAUGCUAUUUACACAUGAAAAUGGAUUUCUGAAUCCUUCAUUGUUGUACUUGGUUCGAGACGUACUCGGAUACUUUUGACAAAAUAAGAUAUUUAUUCUUACAAAUCAUGAUUUUACCCAUCAGAAACUUGAUGUCGUGUUAUAUGUUUGAAACAGAGAAAGGUUUUGGUUCUCAUCUUUAUUUGCUUGAUAAGUCAAAUGUUUCCUUGUUCAGUUUCUUUACUCAAUUCCAUAUGCAAUAUCAGAGUUUAGAUUUAUAGAUUUUAAGGUAAUUAGAUAUAUUUAAACCCAUGAAUUUAAUUACCGUAGCACGAGGUCGUGCCAGAAACUUGCCGACACGGUACGACACGAUAUGUGCAGGGCCAUGCUGAUGCGUGCCGGUUACAAAAGAAUACAUGUGUGCCGACCAAGGUUAAAUUGCCAUGGUACGGGGGCGUGCUACUACCUCCCUGGCACGGUACAGCACCGGCAGGCUUCCGUGCCGACACAUGAUACGCUUGUAUGCCGAUGGAUACGCAUGACCUCCUACUGGCACGCUUUGACACGAACUUAUUUCAGUUUUUUUGUUCGAAUAAGUUCUUAUAAUAUUAUUUUGAAAGAUUUAAUCAAAUAAUUAUGAAUAUUUGCUAUAUAUAGCUUACUACGCUUAUCAAUUAACAAACUUAUAAAUUUUUUUUGUAUGUAAAGUAAUUUUACUAGUAUUUUCAAUCUUCUAGCACAAAAAUAAAAUUUUAUAUUUGAUGUGGCUAAAAAUUUGUUUAUUGAGUUCGAUUUUGUUUUCUUAAUUCACCAAAAAAUUUACGGUUAAAAUAAUUUGUGAAGAAAAAAUAGAUGUUUAUGAUGGAAGCGGAGGGCUUGACAAAUCUUUUGUCCGUAUAUUGAUAAACAAAAAAAAAUAAAUUAUAAUUUUUUUGACUUACCUAAUAAGUAAAUUUUCGAUUUGCAAUAUCUUUGCGAGGGUGUGGGGUACCCAAAAUUCUUUGGAUAACCCAAAGCACAAAACAAAAAGGAAAAAAAAAAAAGCAGCAAAAAAAAAAAAAAAACAAAAAGAAUAAUUCCAGCUGCGUGGCACAAUUACUGUGCCGUGGCACACUGCGCCAUACCGCUCUUGUGCUGCCCCACAACGCUGCAUGACCGAGGCACUGAGGGGGGUCCGAAACCCAUCCCCCCCCCAAACGGUGCCACCUUCUUGGUGGCACGGUAUGUGUCGCCUUGUGACGUACGGCACGGGACGGUACUUUAAAUCUUGGUGCCGAACAUAAUGGCAUAAAAUAUUUAUUUUAUUUAGUAACAAAAAUAUUCUAACGGUUUAUUAUGUAUUUUUAUCAAAUUUUUUAAACUUACUAAUUUGAAGAAUAAAGAGUUUUAAGUUGUACCAUCGGCACGGGGUUAUAUCGUGUCAAUAUCUUAUUGGCACGAUACUGCACGGUAGAUACACGGUCCGUAUUGAUGGACACUUAAAAUCCUUCAAAAUUGUUUCUGUAUAUACCUUUCUUAAGUCCAAGUUUUUAUAUUUUUCUUUUGCGGCUAUAGUAUCUUCAUGGCUUGUUUAAAUGCAUGAAAAUUUUUCCCAUGUAUAUCUGUCGCUACUUUAUGGGAAGGCAUUAUAAGAAAUCAUCUUAUAAAUGGAAUGUUCUUUUACGAAAAAUAUUACUAUUAUGAUCGAUACAUUGCUUUAGAUUGAAAUCAUAAUUUUAAGCUGAAAUAAAAAAUAAAUGUGAGAAGUUUGAUUGGAUAAUUAAUUCAUUCUAAUAUUUGGAAUCAUCGUGCUCAUGGUAAAAGCAAGGAUUUAAAUAUCGUGGCACGAGAUCAUGCCGAAAACUUGCCGAUAAGGUACGGUGCGUGCCGAGCCGUACCGAUGUAUGCCGGUCAAAAAAAUUCUUGUAUGCUGACAUAUAAUAGCAUAAAAUAUUUAUUUUCUUUAGCAACAAAAUAUUUUAACUAUUUAUUAUGUCUUUUGAUCAAAUCUUUUAAACUUUAUUGAGAAAAUUAUUUACUAAUUUAAAGAAUAGAGAGUUUUGAGCUGUGCCAUCGGUACAAGGUCUGUAUCGUGCCGGUAUCUUGUUGGUACAUGGUACGGUCCUACCGUAUUAAUAGGAAUAAACGAUAACUUUGAGGGGGAUCGAACCUGCUAAAGAAUUGAGAAGUAGAGAAGUAGAGAGAAUAGGUAGAAAAAGAAAACAAGAUAUGAGGAAAAAGAGACAAUAUUACUUUUUUAUUUCUUGUAACUCCGGGUUACAUUAUAUAGAGUCCAAAUCCUUAAACUACUCCUAAUCAUACCUAAUAAAUUUAUUUCCAAACAAGAUAACUGUCUAUUCCUAAAUAUAUUCCUAAAUAACAAGAUAUUUAAAUUUAAACUUGUUUAUUAAAAGAAAACUAUUAACAAGAAAAAUUAGAAUCGCAUCAGUAUAGUAUGGUACAGUGGAUACGACCCAUAUCGAUGGGCACUUAAAAUUUUGGUAAAAAAGUGUGCUUUGAAGGGGACAUUAUUGGUUUUUUUAAAAGUACAGGGAUUUAAUCCAUCAAAUAUAUCAAUAAAAAAUUCCGUGCACGUAACUGCAGUGAAUCUCGAAAAAUUUCGUGCACGGGAACAAAUAUGUAGCGUGCGAUACAAUAAUAAUUGUACCUCGUUGUAGUUACGUUCAUUUAUUCAUAUAUUUUUCUUUUUUCCUUUUUUUUCCUCGUAUUUCUAAAUUUUAGAAUGUACGUUGCCAAAGUUGUGGGCAGAUACAACAUACAACUCAGAGCUUAAUUAGUUUGGGAGAAUGAAUAGAGCCUCAAACGUGGCUACGUGCUACUGCGUCCACAUUCAAUGCAUUUCGGGGAUUAGUACCGCACGAAACGCAAGGAGAUUGCAUAUAAUUUUGUGUAUAAGCAGACAAUGUAUCUUGACGGAAAUAUGGGCUCGAUACAUUUCGGAUUAAAAAAUAUGAUACCUCGUUGCUAAUUUGGCAAAUUUUGUCACAAUUAAAAAACCGAAGCAAAUUUUUAUGAGCUUUAAAAAUAGCAGCUUUAAUUUAAAUUUUUGUGCUUAUGAUAUUUUAUUACGGUAAAAAAAGCUAAUAAAUUGGAGUAAGCUUGCUUAAUUAUAUGAUUCGUUUUGUCAUUUAUACACUGCUCGACUCAGUUCAAAACAAUUAGUUUGAAUAAAUUUGAUAGAUAUAUUCAGCUUUUGAAUACUUUUUCUCAAAGUCAAAAUUAGAUUGAUUGGAAUCAAUGAGCUACAAAUUUUUUUUUUUUUUUAAUGUUUGAAUCCAUAUGAAACUGUUUAAAAUAAUUUUCAAAACCUAAUGUGUCUUUGGCUUUCUUGUAAAGCUUUUUAACCACUUGAGCUACAAAAGAAUUUAUAUUUAAAAAAGAAUUAAGAGCUAUGAAUUUAUAUCACUAAUAAAGUUUAAAAAAGUCUCUUAUUAGUAGAGAUCAUAUUGAUGGAACAGAUUUAUUCAAUACUAAACGGAUAUGGUUUCGAAUAUGAAUAUAAAAAAUAAAAAUCAAGUAGAGAUAUAGAUUUUAACUGCACACAAUCCGAAUCCAAUUCGAGCCUGAAUUUAUUUUACAUUAUAUAUAAUAUAUAUACAAGAAUUUGAUGUUAUAUCUAAAUUUGUAUUUUAAAAAUUUAGAUUUAAUAUAAUAUAUUUUGAAAUAUUGAAAAAAUAAUAAUUGUUUCGGGUUCGGAUUCGGGUUUAGGUUUUAGAUUUUUGGUCAAGUUUGGAUUUGAAUAUGAAUUUUUAAAAUCUGUCGGAUUCGAAUUCGAGUUCGAAUUUCGGGUUUGGAGUCAGGUUUGGAUUCGAAUUUUUGAAAAUU
rnacentral:lncRNA from 1 species